UCUUCAGGACGUCUCUGCUGAUUGCUGCUGC
rnacentral:piRNA from 1 species